rnacentral:tRNA from 1 species
GCCUGGGUGGCUCAGUUGGUUGAGCAUCUGACUUCAGCUCAGGUCAUGAUCUUGUAUUCCAUGAGUUUGAGUCCCAUGUCUGGUU